GACGAACGCUGGCGGCGUGCUUAACACAUGCAAGUCGAACGGAAAGGCCCCUUUGGGGGUACUCGGGUGGCGAACGGGGGAGUAACACGUGAGUAACCUGCCCUUGACUUCGGGAUAACUUCAGGAAACUGGGGCUAAUACCGGAUAGGAAUCCUUGCUGCAUGGUGGGGGUUGGAAAGCUUCGGCGGUUUUGGAUGGACUCUCGGCUUAUCAGCUUGUUGGUGGGGUAGUGGCUUACCAAGGCUUUGACGGGUAGCCGGCCUGAGAGGGCGACCGGCCACAUUGGGACUGAGAUACGGCCCAGACUCCUACGGGAGGCAGCAGUGGGGAAUCUUGCACGAGGGGCGGCAGCCUGAUGCAGCAACGCCGCGUGCGGGAUGACGGCCUUCGGGUUGUAAACCGCUUUCAGCAGGGGCGAAGCUUGUGGUGACGGUACCUGCAGAAGAAGCACCGGCUAACUACGUG
rnacentral:rRNA from 1 species